GGGUUCCUCCAUUUUGUAGAUAGCUAGUAGACAUAUUUUAGUUAUAUUUCAAAGGGCCUGUAGCUAUACUAGUGUUUUAUUUUUAUUUUUUUUUUGCCUAAGACUGAAAUCUGAUAUGCAGGUGGAUCCUAAUUAUUGUCUGGGGGUUUUCCAGCAUUUUUAAAGUUUCAGGAUGACAUGGUAAGAUGGUCAUUUUGACCCUGGGGGUUAUUUGCCUUCUUCAUCACUCCUUCUCCUGUGAAUGCAAAAGUCACACUCACACCUAUGUUUUCAUUUGGUGAUUAGGACAACUUUCUGUCACUGCUCACUUGACUGUCAGAGAACCUGGUGGGCAGGCAGGAACGUCCAGUGCAGCCACAUCAAGUCUUCACUUCAUAGUCAGCAUCACCAGCCUGGAGCUUUCCAGGACACGGAACCACUAGGGAAAUGAGGCUUGAAGCUUUCAGGUUAUCCAGAGAGCUGAGCGACAGUCAACAGCAACAAAAACCCUGGACUCACCAGAUCCUAGGACGCAAGUCACAAAUACAUACUAAUAUUGGUAACAUAGUAUGCACAUGAGUGAAGAAGAGAACAUAGCCUCAGGCAGACUGCUCAGCAAUGCUGUAUGCAUCCAGGGCCUUGAGUCCACUCCUAGGCUUUGAGUUUAAAGGAAGAAGGAGGAGAAGGAGAAGGAGUGAGAAACAGGAAGAAAAAGAGGAAGAUGAGGAGGUGGAAAAAGAGGAGAAGACCUAUCAUUCUAAAGGGGAGCUGAAGGGGAAAAAAAAUAAAAGAAGCAGAGACACUGGAGGAAUAUUAAAAAAUCUAAUGAAAGGAAGGCUGUGUAAUAAUGACAGAAAGGUUAUGAGACUAAAGGAUGAUUCAUAACAAGAAAAAGAAAAACUCAUUUUCAUCGUGAAAUUGGAGGUUUAACAAAAUUGAUUCCAUAUUAAAAAUAUUCC